rnacentral:rRNA from 1 species
GACGAACGCUGGCGGCGUGCUUAACACAUGCGAGUCGAACGGAAAGGCCCUGCUUUUGUGGGGUGCUCGAGUGGCGAACGGGUGAGUAACACGUGAGUAACCUGCCCUUGACUUUGGGAUAACUUCAGGAAACUGGGGCUAAUACCGGAUAGGAGCUCCUGCUGCAUGGUGGGGGUUGGAAAGUUUCGGCGGUUGGGGCUGGACUCGCGGGUUAUCAGCUUGUUGGUGGGGUAGGGGCUGACCAAGGCUUUGACGGGUAGCCGGCCUGAGAGGGUGACCGGCCACAUGGGGACUGCGAUACGGCGCAGACGCGUACGGGAGGCAGCAGUGGGGAGUAUUGCACAAUGGGCGGAAGCCUGAUGCAGCAACGCCGCGUGCGGGAUGACGGGUUUCUGGUUGUAAACCGCUUUCGCCUGUGACGAAGCGUGAGUGACGGUAAUGGGUAAGGAAGCACCGGCUAACUACGUG